rnacentral:tRNA from 1 species
GCAGCGGUAGUUCAGUGGUAGAAUGUCUCCUUCCCAAGGAGAAGGUCGCCGGUUCGAAUCCGGUCCGCUGCUCAA